rnacentral:rRNA from 1 species
AAUGAACGCUAGCGGCAGGCCUAACACAUGCAAGUCGAGCGGAGGAAGGGAGCUUGCUCCCGGCUUCAGCGGCCGACGGGUGGGUAAUGCCUAGGAAUCUGCCCGGUAGUGGGGGAUAACGUCCGGAAACGGGAGCUAAUCUAGUAUACGUCCUGAGGGAGAAAGGGGGGGAUCUUUGGUCCUAACGGUAUUAGCUGAGACUAAGACGUAUUAGCUAGUUGGUGGGGUAAAGGCCUACCAAGGCGACGAUCCGUAACUGGUCUGAGAGGCUGAUCAGUCACACUGGAACUGAGACACGGUCCAGACUCCUACGGGAGGCAGCAGUAGGGAAUAUUGGGCAAUGGGCGAAAGCCUGAUCCAGCCAUGCCGCGUGUGUGAAGAAGGUCUUCGGAUUGUAAAGCACUUUAAGUUGGGAGGAAGGACAGUGAGUGAAUACCUUGCUGUUUUGACGUUACCAACAGAAUAAGCACCGGCUAACUUCGUG